rnacentral:rRNA from 1 species
AGGCGUGCUUACACAUGCAGUCGAGCGAGGCGGAGGGGGGCAACUCCUUCCAGUCGAGCGGCGGACGGGUGAGUAACACGUGGGUAACCUGCCCGGAAGUGGGGAAUACCUCGGAGAAAUUCGAGCUAAUACCGCAUGACAUCUUUGGGACGAAAGUCCUGACGAUCAAAGCGGGGUCGCAAGAUCUCGCGCUACCGGAUGGGCCCGCGCCCGAUUAGCUAGUUGGUGAGGUAAUGGCUCACCAAGGCUUCGAUCGGUAACCGGCCUGAGAGGGCGAUCGGUCACACCGGAACUGAGACACGGUCCGGACUCCUACGGGAGGCAGCAGUGGGGAAUCUUGCGCAAUGGGCGAAAGCCUGACGCAGCAACGCCGCGUGGAGGAUGAAGGCCCUUGGGUUGUAAACUCCUGUCGGCUGGGAAGAAAUCGUUCAGUGGCUCAUACCCACGGACGUUGACUGUACCAGCAAAGGAAGCCCCAGGUAACUCUGUGCCAGCAGGCCGCGGUAAUAC